rnacentral:lncRNA from 1 species
GUGAAUCCACUAACAAUUAUUCAACAAUAUCUGGUUGAGAUAGAUUGUUGAAUUUGGUGAUGUAACUAUUUACCACCAUAGACAUAUGGUUUAAUUUAUUUAAAAUUUCCUGUUCACUAAACCCAUCAAUGUUCCAUUCAUAAAUUUUAUUAGAUGAAACUGAGAACUGUUUAUCUAGGUUUCUCUCUUCGAACUGUAAGUCCGGAGGAGUAGGUCUAGAAUACCAAUUUCUAGUUAUACUGGUGUUUUUAACUGUUAAUUUGUUUAGCUGAUCAUUU